AGCGGCGGACGGGUGAGUAAUGCCUAGGAAUCUGCCUGGUAGUGGGGGACAACGUUUCGAAAGGAACGCUAAUACCGCAUACGUCCUACGGGAGAAAGCAGGGGACCUUCGGGCCUUGCGCUAUCAGAUGAGCCUAGGUCGGAUUAGCUAGUAGGUGAGGUAAUGGCUCACCUAGGCGACGAUCCGUAACUGGUCUGAGAGGAUGAUCAGUCACACUGGAACUGAGACACGGUCCAGACUCCUACGGGAGGCAGCAGUGGGGAAUAUUGGACAAUGGGCGAAAGCCUGAUCCAGCCAUGCCGCGUGUGUGAAGAAGGUCUUCGGAUUGUAAAGCACUUUAAGUUGGGAGGAAGGGCAGUAAGUUAAUACCUUGCUGUUUUGACGUUACCAACAGAAUAAGCACCGGCUAACUUCGUGCCAGCAGCCGCGGUAAUACGAAGGGUGCAAGCGUUAAUCGGAAUUACUGGGCGUAAAGCGCGCGUAGGCGGUUNNGUAAGUUUGAUGUGAAAGCCCCGGGCUCAACCUGGGAAUUGCAUCCAAAACUACUUGGCUAGAGUANGGUAGAGGGUGGUGGAAUUCCCGGUGUAGCAGUGAAAUGCGUAGAUAUAGGNAGGAACACCAGUGGCGAAGGCGACCACCUGGACUNAUACUGACACUGAGGCNCGAAAGCGUGGGGAGCAAACAGGAUUAGAUACCCUGGUAGUCCACGCCCUAAACGAUGUCAACUAG
rnacentral:rRNA from 1 species